UUCCUACGGGGGGCAGCAGUGGGGAAUAUUGCACAAUGGAGGGAACUCUGAUGCAGCGACGCCGCGUGAGUGAAGAAGUAAUUCGUUAUGUAAAGCUCUAUCAGCAGGGAAGAAAGUGACGGUACCUGAAAAAGAAGCUCCGGCUAAAUACGUGCCAGCAGCCGCGGUAAUACGCAUGGAGCAAGCGUUAUCCGGAUUUACUGGGUGUAAAGGGAGCGCAGGCGGCGUGGCAAGUCAGAUGUGAUAACCCGGGGCCCAACCCCGGGAGUGCAUUUGAAACUGCCAUGCUGGCGUGCCG
rnacentral:rRNA from 1 species